AGGUGAUCCAACCGCAGGUUCCCCUACGGUUACCUUGUUACGACUUCACCCCAGUCAUGAAUCACAAAGUGGUAAGCGCCCUCCCGAAGGUUAAGCUACCUACUUCUUUUGCAACCCACUCCCAUGGUGUGACGGGCGGUGUGUACAAGGCCCGGGAACGUAUUCACCGUGGCAUUCUGAUCCACGAUUACUAGCGAUUCCGACUUCAUGGAGUCGAGUUGCAGACUCCAAUCCGGACUACGACGCACUUUAUGAGGUCCGCUUGCUCUCGCGAGGUCGCUUCUCUUUGUAUGCGCCAUUGUAGCACGUGUGUAGCCCUGGUCGUAAGGGCCAUGAUGACUUGACGUCAUCCCCACCUUCCUCCAGUUUAUCACUGGCAGUCUCCUUUGAGUUCCCGGCCGGACCGCUGGCAACAAAGGAUAAGGGUUGCGCUCGUUGCGGGACUUAACCCAACAUUUCACAACACGAGCUGACGACAGCCAUGCAGCACCUGUCUCACGGUUCCCGAAGGCACAUUCUCAUCUCUGAAAACUUCCGUGGAUGUCAAGACCAGGUAAGGUUCUUCGCGUUGCAUCGAAUUAAACCACAUGCUCCACCGCUUGUGCGGGCCCCCGUCAAUUCAUUUGAGUUUUAACCUUGCGGCCGUACUCCCCAGGCGGUCGACUUAACGCGUUAGCUCCGGAAGCCACGCCUCAAGGGCACAACCUCCAAGUCGACAUCGUUUACGGCGUGGACUACCAGGGUAUCUAAUCCUGUUUGCUCCCCACGCUUUCGCACCUGAGCGUCAGUCUUCGUCCAGGGGGCCGCCUUCGCCACCGGUAUUCCUCCAGAUCUCUACGCAUUUCACCGCUACACCUGGAAUUCUACCCCCCUCUACGAGACUCAAGCUUGCCAGUAUCAGAUGCAGUUCCCAGGUUGAGCCCGGGAUUUCACAUCUGACUUAACAAACCGCCUGCGUGCGCUUUACGCCAGUAAUUCCGAUUAACGCUUGCACCCUCCGUAUUACCGCGGCUGCUGGCACGGAGUUAACCGGUGCUUCUUCUGCGGGUAACGUCAAUGAGCAAAGGUAUUAACUUUACUCCCUUCCUCCCCGCUGAAAGUACUUUACAACCCGAAGGCCUUCUUCAUACACGCGGCAUGGCUGCAUCAGGCUUGCGCCCAUUGUGCAAUAUUCCCCACUGCUGCCUCCCGUAGGAGUCUGGACCGUGUCUCAGUUCCAGUGUGGCUGGUCAUCCUCUCAGACCAGCUAGGGAUCGUCGCCUAGGUGAGCCGUUACCUCACCUACUAGCUAAUCCCAUCUGGGCACAUCCGAUGGCAAGAGGCCCGAAGGUCCCCCUCUUUGGUCUUGCGACGUUAUGCGGUAUUAGCUACCGUUUCCAGUAGUUAUCCCCCUCCAUCAGGCAGUUUCCCAGACAUUACUCACCCGUCCGCCACUCGUCAGCAAAGAAGCAAGCUUCUUCCUGUUACCGUUCGACUUGCAUGUGUUAGGCCUGCCGCCAGCGUUCAAUCUGAGCCAUGAUCAAACUCU
rnacentral:rRNA from 1 species